UACGUAGGGGGCUAGCGUUGUCCGGAAUCAUUGGGCGUAAAGAGCGCGUAGGCGGCCAGAUAAGUCCGGUGUGAAAGUCAGAGGCUCAACCUUUGAAUGCCGCUGGAAACUGUCUGGCUAGAGUCCGGAAGGGGCGAGUGGAAUUCCUGGUGUAGCGGUGAAAUGCGCAGAUAUCAGGAGGAACACCAAUGGCGAAGGCAGCUCGCUGGAACGGUACUGACGCUGAGGCGCGAAAGCGUGGGGAGCGAACAGG
rnacentral:rRNA from 1 species